rnacentral:rRNA from 1 species
UACAGAGGGUGCGAGCGUUGUCCGGAAUCACUGGGCGUAAAGGGCUCGUAGGCGGUUUUGUCGCGUCGGGAGUGAAAUCCACUGGCUUAACUGGUGGCUUGCUUUCGAUACGGGCAGACUGGAGGUAUGCAGGGGGAGAACGGAAUUCCUGGUGUAGCGGUGAAAUGCGCAGAUAUCAGGAGGAACACCGGUGGCGAAGGCGGGUCUCUGGGCAACAACUGACGCUGAGGAGCGAAAGCGUGGGGAGCGAACAGG